UCUCAUUAAUCAAAUGAAUAAUUUCAUCUUCAUGUCUUAUAAACAUGUACCCUUUACAUUUCAAUCUAGUGCAAUUAAAAUACAUUACCAAUUAAUUAUCAGCAGAAAAAAUGCUAUUAAAAAUAUCUUUAGAAAAGGGGGAACCAAUUUUGGUCAAUACUUCCAGGAAUCUCACACCACCAGAAAAAUUGACCUACACCAUAAUAUGUAGUGAUGCCUAUUUAUCACUCAAAUCAUACAAAGUGGGGAAAAAGUCCAACGCUGAGUUGGAGAUUCUAAACUAGGUGUGUAAACUGUAACGACCUCGAAAUCGGACCGCUAUCGGCGCUAGGAUCCAGAUCGACUUAAGGUCGCCGGGAACCGUAGCAAGCCUAACAUACAACCUGUAAUACCUGAUAAAUCCCAUACAUAAUCAUACAUUUACAUAAAAAUUUUAAACUUUCCAUAUACCAAACUUGACCUGUGCAUGCACUAUACUGUAAAUAUAAAAUCUCACACUAGAGCCAUCAUCAAAUGCUCUAGCGGGGUAACAUAUCAUAUGUCAAGCCUGGUUCAACAUAACUCAUCAUUAAAGCAUUUCCUAUAGAUCAUGUACAAAAGGGGAUUAACCAUACAUUAGGGUCAAACACAAUACUAAUCCUCGUUACAUUACUUUACAUUACAUCAUUUUACAUCUCAUAUCCACUGCUCAUCUAUUACAUAUCAAGUUUUUACCCUUACCCCCAGGUUUGCAGGUUCAGGAUAACACUCUGUAACGACCCGGAAACCGGACCGCUACCGGCGCUAAGAUCCAGAUCGACUUAAGGUCGCCGAGACCCAUAGCAAGCCUAACAUACAACCUGUAAUACCUGAUAAAUCCCAUACAUGAUCAUACAUUUACAUAAAAAUUUUAAACUUUCCAUAUACCAAACUUGACAUGUGCAUGCACUAUACUGUAAACAUAAAACCCCACACUAGAGCCCUCAUCAAAUGCUCUAGCGGGAUAACAUAUCAUAUGUCAAGCCUGGUUCAACAUAACUCAUCAUUAAAGCAUUUCCUAUAGAUCAUGUACAAAAGGGGAUUAACCAUACAUUAGGGUCAAGCACAAUACUAAUCAUCAUUACAUUACUUUACAUUACAUCAUUUUACAUCUCAUGUCCACUACUCAUCUAUUACAUAUCAAGCUUUUACCCUUGACGACUUCCCGAUCUAUCCUGAACCUGCAAACCUGGGAAACCGGACCGCUACCUAAACGAACCGAGCCGAACCGAGUUUUGAAGAACUCAAGCUUGGUUUGUUAAAAUUUUUUCGAAGUCGAGUUGAAUUCGAACUUUACUCAUUUCGAACUCGAGCCGAGUAUUAAGAAGCUCAAGCUCGGCUCGUUAGCAAACAAGCUUAGACGAGUCGAGCUUUUAAAUUUUAAUGAUCCAAAUAUAUGCAAAUUUAAGAGUAUAACUAAACUGUAUAAAGCUGAAUUUUAAAAAAUUUAGAUUUGGCUCGUGAAAGUAUAUGCAGGAUUUGAGUUUAUUUCUCUUAUAAUAAUAAUCUCAUUUUACUUAUCGAAACUGUUCACGUGUCUAUUCGCGAGCCUGCUCGUGAACUCAGAAACGAGCCGAGCUCAGGAGCCUUAACGAGCCGAAUAUAUGGAACUCAAGUUUAGCUCGUUUACCAAACGAGCCUGAAAAUUCAAACUGGGUCAAACUUUUAUUGAACAGCUCAAGAAGGAUUUGGUUCAUUUACGCUCCUAUUCUAAACCAAUACACAUAAAUAUUUCAAAAGCCAGCAAACUAACAAAAUAGAAUAGAGGUAAGUGCUGCUGAACUUAAUAACCGAGUUCCAGUAUUAUCACCGAGUUGCAAUACGUGUCAACAGCAUCACUUAAUUUCGUUUACUUCAACAAGGUCACUGUUUCUAAACUUUUUAGGACAUUUAGCCAAAUAAAUUUAACAUGUCUUUAGAUUAUAAACACCCUUAAUGUCAAUCCAACAAAGCUACACCCUACAAUUCACUAUGUCAAUUUAAAACAAUUACCAGAAAUUUCCCGGUUUGAUCUAAUAUGCCCUCAUGUCAAUUCAUUACAUAAUAAUUUCAGUAAAAUGCAAUUCUGGGGAGAAAAAUCAAAAACAGAAGAAGAAAUCAAAGAAUUAAAUCCAAAAUGUGCAAGGAGAAGACCUAAUACAUCAAAGCAGACUGAGUAAAGCUCAUUCACGAAAUUACAAAAAUCUCACAAAAAGAUCUUCAAUUUUAGUUUCUACUCAUUGAAAUUCAGCAGGAAAAAAGAAAA
rnacentral:lncRNA from 1 species